GACUCCCACUCUUCUCCCGUUCUUUAUCUUGUUUGUUAUGUUAAGCAGUUUUGUUACACCCUAAGAGUUGUUAAAGUCAGAAGAGAUAUGUGUCCAAAUCAAGCUGGAGAAUGCAUGUGAAUGGUUAGGAGUUCCAGCCUAAGAGUUACCACUUCAGUAUCGAUUGGCCGAAGAAUGCGCUAAGUGGAGCUAACCGGAUGACCCCCGGAGGGCAGACUGGAACCCACCCAACAGCCUCAAGGAUGGGAGACCCAAAGAACAAGAUAACAUCUGGCAGCACGGAGCCGUCAGCGAUGCGCCACCUGCUGAUGGAUUCAGCAACAGCAUGAUGAAGCCACCUCCAUAGACUGGCCUAGGAAUAAAACUCCGAUAAAAACAGACCCUAAAGACGAAGGACUUUGAGGUCUGAUUCUGGCAAACC